rnacentral:rRNA from 1 species
UACGUAGGGGGCUAGCGUUGUCCGGAUUUAUUGGGCGUAAAGAGCUCGUAGGUGGCUGAGUAAGUCGGAUGUUAAAUCCCCAGGCUCAACCUGGGACACCACCCGAUACUGCUCUAGCUAGAGUCCGGUAGGGGAGCAUGGAAUUCCUGGUGUAGCGGUGAAAUGCGCAGAUAUCAGGAGGAACACCAGCGGCGAAGGCGGUGCUCUGGGCCGGAACUGACACUGAGGAGCGAAAGCGUGGGUAGCAAACAGG